GAUGAAGAACGUAGCGAAAUGCGAUAAGUAAUGUGAAUUGCAGAAUUCAGUGAAUCAUCGAAUCUUUGAACGCAUAUUGCGCUCCUUGGUAUUCCGAGGAGCAUGCCUGUUUGAGUGUCAUUUUAACUUCUCAAUCAUGUCGAAUUUAUUUUUCGAGGUGGCUUGGAUUGUGGGGGUUUGCGGGCUUCAAUAUGAAGUCGGCUCCUCUGAAAUGCAUUAGUGGUAAUCUGAAGCAGAACUGCUACUAUUAGGUGUGAUAAUUAUCUAUGCCUUUUUGGUAUACUGCAUGAAACAGAUUGUGCUGCUUUCCAACUGUGCACCUUUCUCCUAGGGUGUGUUUUGACAAAUUUGACCUCAAAUCAGGUAGGACUACCCGCUGAACUUAAGCAUAUCAAUAAGCGGAGGA
rnacentral:misc_RNA from 1 species